rnacentral:lncRNA from 1 species
GGAUGUCAUCAAAGAUGUGAACUCCUUGAACUUCCUCCACUCAACUGCCCUCUCCAAAGCCUGAUACCUAAGCUUCCAUAGAGGAGUCAUCUACGCUUUGUGAAUUUUUAUUCAGUUUCUGCAAGUGAUAUUUUCUACCCUUGCUUCAAAUGCUUGGGAUACACCCUUUAUGAGGCUUUCAACUUCCUGUGCACAGUUUCCUUUUUGCAGAAACCCGUAAGACAUUGCUGACAACCAUACCUGACUGCUCUCCUGAGAUUCAGCUACUGAACC